AAGCAGGAGAAUACAUUGCAACGACAUGUCUCCUUCUUCCUAUCAUUACGUAGAGCUGAGCACGGAUUACUUAUACACAAAAAUACCCUAACGGUUUGGACCUAGAAGGAGGGGCAGUCACAUACUACGUGACGAUGUGAUAGGUAGGAGGAACAAUACGUGUAUCCUCUCGAAAAUCUCUCAAGCCCAGCCACCUGGGGGCAAGAAACGACACAUUCCCACCAGAUC
rnacentral:lncRNA from 1 species